rnacentral:rRNA from 1 species
CCUACGGGGGACAGCAGUGGGGAAUAUUGGGCAAUGGGCGCAAGCCUGACCCAGCAACGCCGCGUGAAGGAAGAAGGCUUUCGGGUUGUAAACUUCUUUUGUCAGGGAAGAGUAGAAGACGGUACCUGACGAAUAAGCCACGGCUAACUACGUGCCAGCAGCUGCGGUAAUACGUAGGUGGCAGGCGUUGUCCGGAUUUACUGGGUGUAAAGGGCGUGUAGCCGGGUUGACAAGUCAGAUGUGAAAUCCUGCGGCUUAACCGCAGAACUGCAUUUGAAACUGUUGAUCUUGAGUACUGGAGAGGCAGACGGAAUUCCUAGUGUAGCGGUGAAAUGCGUAGAUAUUAGGAGGAACACCAGUGGCGAAGGCGGUCUGCUGGACAGCAACUGACGGUGAGGCGCGAAAGCGUGGGGAGCAAACAGGAUUAGAUACCCCAGUAGUC